AUACGUAGGGGGCGAGCGUUGUCCGGAAUGACUGGGCGUAAAGGGCGCGUAGGCGGUUGUUUAAGUUAGGAGUGUAAGUCCAGCUUUUAAGGUUGGAAUAGCUUUUAAUACUGGAUGACUUGAGUGCGGAAGAGGUAAGUGGAAUUCCCAGUGUAGCGGUGAAAUGCGUAGAGAUUGGGAGGAACACCAGUGGCGAAGGCGACUUACUGGGCCGUAACUGACGCUGAGGCGCGAAAGCGUGGGGAGCGAACAGGAUUAGAUACCCUGGUAGUCCACGCGGUAAACGAUGAAUGCCAGGUGUAGGGGGUAUCGACCCCUUCUGUGCCGCAGUCAACACAAUAAGCAUUCCGCCUGGGGAGUACGGCCGCAAGGUUGAAACUCAAAGGAAUUGACGGGG
rnacentral:rRNA from 1 species